UUUAACAUGAGAGUUUGAUCCUGGCUCAGGAUGAACGCUGGCGGCGUGCUUAACACAUGCAAGUCGAACGAAGCAAUUUAGCGGAAGUUUUCGGAUGGAAGUUAAAUUGACUGAGUGGCGGACGGGUGAGUAACGCGUGGGUAACCUGCCUCACACUGGGGGACAACAGUUAGAAAUGACUGCUAAUACCGCAUAAGCGCACAGGACCGCAUGG
rnacentral:rRNA from 2 species